CUACGGGUUGCUCCAGUGGGGAAUAUUGCACAAUGGGCGCAAGCCUGAUGCAGCCAUGCCGCGUGUAUGAAGAAGGCCUUCGGGUUGUAAAGUACUUUCAGCGGGGAGGAAGGGAGUAAAGUUAAUACCUUUGCUCAUUGACGCUACCCGCAGAAGAAGCACCGGCUAACUCCGUGCCAGCAGCCGCGGUAAUACGGAGGGUGCAAGCGUUAAUCGGAGUUACUGGGCGUAAAGCGCACGCAGGCGGUUUGUUAAGUCAGAUGUGAAAUCCCCGGGCUCAACCUGGGAACUGCAUCUGAUACUGGCAAGCUUGAGUCUCGUAGAGGGGGGUAGAAUUCCAGGUGUAGCGGUGAAAUGCGUAGAGAUCUGGAGGAAUACCGGUGGCGAAGGCGGCCCCCUGGACGAAGACUGACGCUCAGGUGCGAAAGCGUGGGGAGCAAACAGGAUUAGAUACCCUCGUAGUC
rnacentral:rRNA from 1 species